AGUGAACGCUAGCGGUAGGCCUAACACAUGCAAGUCGAACGGCAGCACAGUAAGAGCUUGCUCUUACGGGUGGCGAGUGGCGGACGGGUGAGGAAUACAUCGGAAUCUACUUUUUCGUGGGGGAUAACGUAGGGAAACUUACGCUAAUACCGCAUACGACCUACGGGUGAAAGCAGGGGAUCUUCGGACCUUGCGCGAUUGAAUGAGCCGAUGUCGGAUUAGCUAGUUGGCGGGGUAAAGGCCCACCAAGGCGACGAUCCGUAGCUGGUCUGAGAGGAUGAUCAGCCACACUGGAACUGAGACACGGUCCAGACUCCUACGGGAGGCAGCAGUGGGGAAUAUUGGACAAUGGGCGCAGGCCUGAUCCAGCCAUACCGCGUGGGUGAAGAAGGCCUUCGGGUUGUAAAGCCCUUUUGUUGGGAAAGAAAAGCAGCAGGUUAAUACCCCGCUGUUCUGACGGUACCCAAAGAAUAAGCACCGGCUAACUUCGUG
rnacentral:rRNA from 1 species